CUAGCUUUCAGUUUCAGUGAGGAAUUGAAAGUUUACAAUGAAGCCAUCGAGUAUCACUUAAUUUUUUUAAAACAUUUUUCUGGGCUUAUUGUGCUAAAUGUGUUUCCUAGGCUGAGAAAAGAGAAGAAAUACUAGCUUUACUGAGGAGGCAGAGAGAAGAAAGGAUUGCAAAAGAAUUGAUUUCUCAUCCAUAUAAACCAAAGACCAAAACAAACCAAACGAGGGCAGACAGUUUGCCGAGGCGGAACGCAGCGACCGUGCUACAAAAUAGUUUAUUUUCAUGAUGUUUCGCGCAGGAUCAGCUAUGAAGAAGCACACCUUGCCUGUAGAGGUGAUGGCGGUCACCUAGUCAGUAUUGAAACAGAAGCAGAGCAAAGACUGAUUGAAAAAUUCAUUGAGAGUCUCUUGGCUUCGGAUGGAGAUUUUUGGAUAGGGCUUAGGAGGAAAAAGGAGGAGGAGAUGGACAAUAGCACAGAGUGUCAGAACCUCUACAGCUGGUCAGAUGGCAGCUUGUCCAAGUUCAGGAACUGGUAUGUAGAUGAGCCAUCCUGUGGGAGUGAAAUCUGUGUUGUGAUGUACCACCAGCCAUCUGCCCCACCGGGUGUUGGAGGUCCUUACAUGUUUCAAUGGAACGAUGACAGAUGCAACAUGAAAAAUAACUUCAUUUGCAAAUAUUCUCUUGAAAAGCAAACGAAUGCUCCAAGAGAGACUUCUCAAACAGACGUUGCAACAGAACCUCUGAAGCCGACGUUCCCAGAAGAACACCGUAAGAACAAUGCUAAUGAAACGAUUAAAGAAGCCAGAGGUAUGCUGUGUUCAACAGCUGGCCCGUUCUCUCUAGCUCUGCCGGCCCAUGUCUCACCUGUGGCUGCAAACACUCAACAUCUAGGUGUGGGGUGUUUGACCCUGAACAUAGAUGGAGCUGAGCUGAGUUGA
rnacentral:lncRNA from 1 species